rnacentral:rRNA from 2 species
UGGGGAAUUUUGCACAAUGGGGGAAACCCUGAUGCAGCGACGCCGCGUGAUUUAGAAGGCCUUCGGGUUGUAAAAAUCUUUUCUAUGGGAAGAAAAUGACAGUACCAUAGGAAUAAGGACCGGCUAAUUACGUGCCAGCAGCCGCGGUAAUACGUAAGGUCCGAGCGUUGUUCGGAAUCAUUGGGCGUAAAGGGUACGUAGGCGGGUAAGCAAGUUAGAAGUGAAAUCCUAUAGCUCAACUAUAGUAAGCUUUUAAAACUGCUCAUCUUGAGGUAUGGAAGGGAAAGUGGAAUUCCUAGUGUAGCGGUGAAAUGCGCAGAUAUUAGGAGGAAUACCGGUGGCGAAGGCGACUUUCUGGCCAUAACCUGACGCUGAGGUACGAAAGCGUGGGUAGCAAACAGG